rnacentral:rRNA from 1 species
AUUGAACGCUGGCGGCAGGCCUAACACAUGCAAGUCGAGCGGAUGAAGGGAGCUUGCUCCUGGAUUCAGCGGCGGACGGGUGAGUAAUGCCUAGGAAUCUGCCUGGUAGUGGGGGAUAACGUCCGGAAACGGGCGCUAAUACCGCAUACGUCCUGAGGGAGAAAGUGGGGGAUCUUCGGACCUCACGCUAUCAGAUGAGCCUAGGUCGGAUUAGCUAGUUGGUGGGGUAAAGGCCUACCAAGGCGACGAUCCGUAACUGGUCUGAGAGGAUGAUCAGUCACCCUGGAACUGAGACACGGUCCAGACUCCUACGGGAGGCAGCAGUGGGGAAUAUUGGACAAUGGGCGAACGCCUGAUCCAGCCAUGCCGCGUGUGUGAAGAAGGUCUUCGGAUUGUAAAGCACUUUGAGUGGAGGAAGGGCAGUAAGUUAAUACCUUGCUGUUUUGACGUUACCAACAGAAUAAGCACCGGCUAACUUCGUG